CCAACAUUUGCCACCUGUGCUUCCUGUCUCUGCUGUAUGGUUGGGGGAGGGAGUUUAAGGAAGGAAACAUUUUUGUAUCGAGGCAUAACAUUGUGAGGACUGGGGGGAGCCACAAUGCAACAUUUCGGCCCGGGCACCAGGCUCACCGUCAUAGAUGACCUGAGCCAGGUGAAACCACCCAAAGUGGCUUUGUUUGAACCCUCAGAAGCCGAGAUCACCCAGACCCAGAAGGCCACACUCGUGUGCCUGGCCACAGGCUUCUUUCCUGACCAUGUGGAGCUGAGCUGGUGGGUGAAUGGCAAAGAGGUGCAGAGUGGGGUCAGCACGGACCCCCAGGCCUUCAAGGAGAACAACACCAGUUACUGUCUGAGCAGUCGUCUGAGGGUCUCUGCUGCCUUCUGGCAUGAUCCUCAUAACCACUUCCGCUGCCAAGUCCAGUUCUAUGGGCUCAGCAAGGAGGACAAGUGGGACUUCCCAGAAAAAAAACCUGUCGACCAAAAUGUCAGUGCUGAGGCCUGGGGCAGAGCAGACUGUGGCUUAACUUCAAUAUCGUAUCAGCAGGGGGUCCUGUCUGCCACCAUCCUCUAUGAGAUCCUGCUGGGGAAAGCCACUUUAUAUGCUUUGCUGGUCAGCACCUUAGUGCUGAUGGCCAUGGUCAAAAAGAAGGGUUCCUGAAGUCAAUUUAAAAGGAUGGCUCAUAUCAGUCUUAAUCUUCGCCUCGGUCUCUUCACCUCCUUCAGUCUGUCUUUCUGAGGAGUUACCUGCUCUACCAUGUACCUUAUUCUUAUAUGGAUGCCUGUUUAUCUUUUUUGCUCCCGUGCCUUUUUAGUUCCUCAACCCUGAAGCUGAAAUUGCCUAAAUCAAUAAAAAUUUCCUGUUGGGUCAAA